rnacentral:rRNA from 1 species
GACGAACGCUGGCGGCGUGCUUAACACAUGCAAGUCGAACGGAAAGGCCCUGCUUUUGUGGGGUGCUCGAGUGGCGAACGGGUGAGUAACACGUGAGUAACCUGCCCUUGACUUUGGGAUAACUUCAGGAAACUGGGGCUAAUACCGGAUAGGAGCUCCUGCUGCAUGGUGGGGGUUGGAAAGUUUCGGCGGUUGGGGAUGGACUCGCGGCUUAUCAGCUUGUUGGUGGGGUAGUGGCUUACCAAGGCUUUGACGGGUAGCCGGCCUGAGAGGGUGACCGGCCACAUUGGGACUGAGAGACGGCCCAGCCUCCUACGGGAGGCAGCAGUGGGGAAUAUUGCACAAUGGGCGGAAGCCUGAUGCAGCAACGCCGCGUGCGGGAUGACGGCCUUCGGGUUGUAAACCGCUUUCGCCUGUGACGAAGCGUGAGUGACGGUAAUGGGUAAAGAAGCACCGGCUAACUACGUG